UGCAGUCGAGCGGAACGAGUUAUCUGAACCUUCGGGGAACGAUAACGGCGUCGAGCGGCGGACGGGUGAGUAAUGCCUAGGAAAUUGCCCUGAUGUGGGGGAUAACCAUUGGAAACGAUGGCUAAUACCGCAUGAUGCCUACGGGCCAAAGAGGGGGACCUUCGGGCCUCUCGCGUCAGGAUAUGCCUAGGUGGGAUUAGCUAGUUGGUGAGGUAAGGGCUCACCAAGGCGACGAUCCCUAGCUGGUCUGAGAGGAUGAUCAGCCACACUGGAACUGAGACACGGUCCAGACUCCUACGGGAGGCAGCAGUGGGGAAUAUUGCACAAUGGGCGCAAGCCUGAUGCAGCCAUGCCGCGUGUGUGAAGAAGGCCUUCGGGUUGUAAAGCACUUUCAGUCGUGAGGAAGGUAGUGUAGUUAAUAGCUGCAUUAUUUGACGUUAGCGACAGAAGAAGCACCGGCUAACUCCGUGCCAGCAGCCGCGGUAAUACGGAGGGUGCGAGCGUUAAUCGGAAUUACUGGGCGUAAAGCGCAUGCAGGUGGUUUGUUAAGUCAGAUGUGAAAGCCCGGGGCUCAACCUCGGAAUAGCAUUUGAAACUGGCAGACUAGAGUACUGUAGAGGGGGGUAGAAUUUCAGGUGUAGCGGUGAAAUGCGUAGAGAUCUGAAGGAAUACCGGUGGCGAAGGCGGCCCCCUGGACAGAUACUGACACUCAGAUGCGAAAGCGUGGGGAGCAAACAGGAUUAGAUACCCUGGUAGUCCACGCCGUAAACGAUGUCUACUUGGAGGUUGUGGCCUUGAGCCGUGGCUUUCGGAGCUAACGCGUUAAGUAGACCGCCUGGGGAGUACGGUCGCAAGAUUAAAACUCAAAUGAAUUGACGGGGGCCCGCACAAGCGGUGGAGCAUGUGGUUUAAUUCGAUGCAACGCGAAGAACCUUACCUACUCUUGACAUCCAGAGAACUUUCCAGAGAUGGAUUGGUGCCUUCGGGAACUCUGAGACAGGUGCUGCAUGGCUGUCGUCAGCUCGUGUUGUGAAAUGUUGGGUUAAGUCCCGCAACGAGCGCAACCCUUAUCCUUGUUUGCCAGCGAGUAAUGUCGGGAACUCCAGGGAAACUGCCGGUGAUAAACCGGAGGAAGGGGGGACGACGUCA
rnacentral:rRNA from 1 species